UAUAACCGGCGAUACCCGAAUGGGGAAACCCAGUGUGACUCGUCACACUAUCAUUAACUGAAUCCAUAGGUUAAUGAGGCGAACCGGGGGAACUGAAACAUCUAAGUACCCCGAGGAAAAGAAAUCAACCGAGAUUCCCCCAGUAGCGGCGAGCGAACGGGGAGGAGCCCAGAGCCUGAAUCAGCAUGUGUGUUAGUGGAAGCGUCUGGAAAGGCGCGCGAUACAGGGUGACAGCCCCGUACACAAAAGCGCAUGUGCUGUGAGCUCGAUGAGUAGGGCGGGACACGUGGUAUCCUGUCUGAAUAUGGGGGGACCAUCCUCCAAGGCUAAAUACUCCUGACUGACCGAUAGUGAACCAGUACCGUGAGGGAAAGGCGAAAAGAACCCCGGCGAGGGGAGUGAAAAAGAACCUGAAACCGUGUACGUACAAGCAGUGGGAGCACCCUUUGGGUGUGACUGCGUACCUUUUGUAUAAUGGGUCAGCGACUUAUAUUCUGUAGCAAGGUUAACCGAAUAGGGGAGCCGGAGGGAAACCGAGUCUUAACCGGGCGUUAAGUUGCAGGGUAUAGACCCGAAACCCGGUGAUCUAGCCAUGGGCAGGUUGAAGGUUGGGUAACACUAACUGGAGGACCGAACCGACUAAUGUUGAAAAAUUAGCGGAUGACCUGUGGCUGGGGGUGAAAGGCCAAUCAAACCGGGAGAUAGCUGGUUCUCCCCGAAAGCUAUUUAGGUAGCGCCUCGUGAAUUCAUCUCCGGGGGUAGAGCACUGUUUCGGCUAGGGGGCCAUCCCGGCUUACCAACCCGAUGCAAACUGCGAAUACCGGAGAAUGUUAUCACGGGAGACACACGGCGGGUGCUAACGUCCGUCGUGAAGAGGGAAACAACCCAGACCGCCAGCUAAGGUCCCAAAGUCAUGGUUAAGUGGGAAACGAUGUGGGAAGGCCCAGACAGCCAGGAUGUUGGCUUAGAAGCAGCCAUCAUUUAAAGAAAGCGUAAUAGCUCACUGGUCGAGUCGGCCUGCGCGGAAGAUGUAACGGGGCUAAACCAUGCACCGAAGCUGCGGCAGCGACACUGUGUGUUGUUGGGUA
rnacentral:rRNA from 1 species